rnacentral:rRNA from 1 species
AGCAGCCGCCGCGGUAAUACGGAGGGGGCUAGCGUUGUUCGGAAUUACUGGGCGUAAAGCGCACGUAGGCGGCUUGGUAAGUUAGAGGUGAAAGCCUGGAGCUCAACUCCAGAAUUGCCUUUAAGACUGCCGAGCUAGCAGGUGAGAGAGGUAAGUGGAAUUCCGAGUGUAGAGGUGAAAUGCGUAGAGAUCGGGAGGAACAUCAGUGGCGAAGGCGGCCAUCUGGGACAACACUGACGCUGAGGCACGAAAGCGUGGGGAGCAAACAGGAUUAGAUACCCCCGUAGUCCCUGUCUCUUAUAC